rnacentral:rRNA from 1 species
GUCCUUUUGGUUUUAUAUAAGGUCUAACCUGCUCCCUGAUUUUUUUAAGAGCCGCAGUAUUUUGACUGUGCGAAGGUAGCAUAAUAAUUAGUUCCUUUAUUGGGAACUGGAAUGAAUGGUUGGACGAAAUAAUUACUGUCUCUUUUUUAUUUUGGUGAAUUUUACUUUUGAGUUAAAAGGCUCAAAUUUUUUUAAAAGACGAGAAGACCCUAUAGAGUUUUAUUAUUUCUUUGGUUGUUAGAUUGAUUGAAUCGAGAUUUUCAACUUUGGGUUAAUUUGAUUGGGGUGAUUGGAAAAUUUAUUUAACUUUUCUUUUAUUUAAACAUUGAUUUAUGAUUAGUUGAUCCAUUUUGUGAUUAUAAGAGUAAAUUACCUUAGGGAUAACAGCGUAAUUCUUCUGGAGAGUUCUUAUCGAGAGGAGAGAUUGCGA